GUGAAGAAUCAUUCGCAAUGGGCGAAAGCCUGACGAUGCAACGCCGCGUGGAGGAUGAAGGCCUUCGGGUUGUAAACUCCUGUCACGCUGUACGAAUUGUUGUGGGGCAAAUAGCCUCACAGCUUGACACAAAAGCGAGAGGAAGUCACGGCUAACUUCGUGCCAGCAGCCGCGGUGAGACGAAGGUGGCAAGCGUUGUUCGGAAUCACUGGGCGUAAAGAGUUCGUAGGCGGCCCUGUAAGUCAGGCGUGAAAUCCCCCGGCUCAACCGGGGAACUGCGCCUGAUACUGCCGGGCUUGAGGGCAGGAGGGGAGAGUGGAAUUCCUGGUGUAGCGGUGAAAUGCGUAGAUAUCAGGAGGAACGCCGGUGGCGAAAGCGACUCUCUGGUCUGCCUCUGACGCUGAGGAACGAAAGCUAGGGGAGCAAACGGGAUUAGAUACCCCAGUAGUCC
rnacentral:rRNA from 1 species